GUGAGUCGGUGAAGCUGACUUCGGAUGUUGCUCUUAAAUGGGCGAGAGUUGUAAUGAAUUCUACAUCUGAGGAAGGUCCGGACAUCAAAAUAAGACGAUUGGUUGAAAGACCAAGUUUAGUGAUGGACAGCUCCGCAACAGAAACGACCCUAUUAAGUUAGGCUGAAACGGGCGCCUUCGUCGAUGCAAGUGCCAAAGCCGCACGCUUAGACAGAUGUCAGCACAGACUGUUCGGUAAAACGAAGUCUGACAAAAUCUGGCCUACUCCGACUCAC
rnacentral:RNase_P_RNA from 1 species